UGAGCCCGCACUUGAGGGCGGUGACUGCUCGUCGCUUCCGGAUGCGGUGCGGAACUGGUGGCAUUUUCGACGGUGCGAGGCAAGGCAGGAGUGAAGUCAAGAUUACACACUAGGUCGGUGUCCCAACCGCCAUACGAAAUGUUUCACACUACCAGCGGGAUGAAGAACUGCGUAAUCCUCAUAUUGCUCGCCGGCUACCGGCGUGCGGCCGAGGAGGGCCCGGCGCCGCGGCACCCGGG